rnacentral:lncRNA from 1 species
CUCCACCCAUGGCGCGGGCCCGGCCGUCAGGCAAACCCCAGGGCGUCGGCCGCCGCCUCAAAGGCCCCGGCGGGCCCCGCGCCGCGCGCCUUGAGGACGGGCCCGGAGCGUGGGGCCGCGGCGGCGCCGAGUUGAGCGAGUGAGCGCGAGGCAGCGAGACAAAGAUAACCCGGGAGGCGGAGGCGGAGGCGGGGAGCGAGGCGGGGAGCGAGGUGGGGAGAGAGGUGGGGAGAGAGGGGGCGGCGGCGGCGCGGGAGGAGGAGAAACGGGACACCAAAAUAUAUUCUGAGGAGACAGAAAACAGCUCCCCCUUUCCUCCUCAGGCAGGAAAAACCGGCGGAAACGCACUCACACCCCUACCCUGCCGGGGAGGGCGCGGGCCGAGGCGCCCGCGCGGCGUGAAUAUUCAUCAGGGGUGGGGCCCGAACAAUGGCCGGGCCGGCGGGCAGUGCGGGCAGCGGCCCCGACACGACGCCCGGCGCCCAGGGUGCGGCCUCGGCGCUCGACCCCGCACGGCGCUCCCGAAAACAGCAGGAGCGGGGAGGAAACGGGCUGGGAUUUCCCCGGGGAGGAGCUGCGGUGGAGAAACGCCCCUACCUCGCGCUAACAACAAAUGACAUGAAACUGAGCUGGACCGACGCUAAGAGGACAGGGACCCUCGUGUCUCCCAGGACAAGGUUGCGGGAUCCGCUGAGCAUCGCUGGGCUGCCCGGCCAUAUCCAAAACAGCUCCUGUAAUUGCCUGGCGCUGCGCUCCUGGCUGCGCUCGCUAAUUCUCAGGAUUGACCAGACCAGUGGUCCUCUCUUAUGCUCAGACAUUUAAUAUAUCACAACUGAAAUAGAAUCAUGAGUUGGAACAUCAUGCAUCAGAUCCUGGCCAGUAUGCAUAAGAGCCUUCAUUGAAGAGGAGGUUCAAUCAUAAUCAAGUCGAUCCCUUCAAAAAUGAAUGAACCACAAGGCUCCAUUAGUGAUACUGCACGCUCGCCCAUCCUACUGAUUUACAGUUUUCAGUCAAUUAUAGUGAUUCCAAUCUCAACACCUUCUAAAAUAUGUCCUAUAACAAAAGACUAAGUGGCGACAUGCCAACGAUAAACUAUGAAGUGAAAAUGCCAUAUUUAUAAAUUACAGACUUUGAGG